CUCUUUCCUAUGAUAUCCUUCUUCUCCUUUCCCCUGCUUCUAUUUUCUUUCUCCACCUUUACUUCCUCGAACAUGUGCCCUUCUUCCUUGAAAGGAUUGAAAUCCACAUGCAAAAGCUUUUCCUUCUAGGCUGUAAGCUUUUCUCUCCUUCAUUAUUGAAAGCCAGGCACUCAUGAAUGUUUUCAGGGGAGACAAAGUCCACAGCUACUUUUGUACAAGACUGAGAUGCAUGUAACAUUUAUCAGAUAACUAGAACAAGAAACCGACUUACUUGCAAAUGAUAAUGAAAUUCUAACCUUGAGAUUUCUGACUUGGUGCGGGCAUCCAGCUGGAAUAAAUACAGCCUCUCCAAGCUUUUGUUCAAAGCUCCAGGGCUCAAUUCCUGUAAAUUUCAUGGUAAACAUGUUAACAGCUGAGUUAUAGAAGAAGAUAUUGACAUUGCAGAAA